GUGGGGAAUCUUGCGCAAUGGCCGAAAGGCUGACGCAGCGACGCCGCGUGGAGGAUGACGCCCUUCGGGGUGUAAACUCCUGUUGCCCGGGACGAAUGCCCCCUUUUGGGGGAGUGACGGUACCGGGUGAGGAAGCACCGGCUAACUCUGUGCCAGCAGCCGCGGUAAUACAGAGGGUGCGAGCGUUGUCCGGAAUCACUGGGCGUAAAGGGCGCGUAGGUGGUUGGGGAAGCGUGUGGUGAAAGCCCGGGGCUCAACCCCGGGUCGGCCAUGCGAACUGCCCGACUGGAGCAUGGUAGAGGCCAAUGGAAUUCCGGGUGUAGCGGUGGAAUGCGUAGAGAUCCGGAAGAACACCGGUGGCGAAGGCGGUUGGCUGGGCCAUUGCUGACACUGAGGCGCGACAGCGUGGGGAGCAAACAGGAUUAGAAACCCUGGUAGUCC
rnacentral:rRNA from 1 species